AGGGCGGUAUUUCAACGGUAGAAUCGGGGUCUCCAAAACCCUUGAUGAAGGUUCGAUUCCUUCCCGCCCUG
rnacentral:tRNA from 1 species